rnacentral:rRNA from 1 species
GGCGGACGGGUGAGUAACGCGUGGAAAACCUGCCGUAUACUGGGGGAUAACACUUAGAAAUAGGUGCUAAUACCGCAUAAGCGCACAGCUUCGCAUGAAGCGGUGUGAAAAACUCUGGUGGUAUACGAUGGUUCCGCGUCUGAUUAGCUAGUUGGUGGGGUAAUGGCCUACCAAGGCAACGAUCAGUAGCCGGCCUGAGAGGGUGAACGGCCACAUUGGGACUGAGACACGGCCCAAACUCCUACGGAAGGCAGCAG